GUAGGGAGCAAACGUUGUCCGGAUUUAUUGGGCGUAAAGGGCUCGUAGGCGGUUCAACAAGUCGGUCGUGAAAACCCGGGGCUCAACCCCGGGACGCCGGUCGAAACUGUUGUGACUAGAGUUCGGUAGAGGUGAGUGGAAUUCUCGGUGUAGCGGUGGAAUGCGCAGAUAUCGAGAGGAACACCAUUAGCGAAGGCGGCUCACUGGGCCGAUACUGACGCUGAGGAGCGAAAGCGUGGGGAGCAAACAGGAUUAGAUACCCUGGGUAGUCCACGCCGUAAACGAUGAACACUAGGUGUGGCGGACUGAUUCAUGUCUGCUGCGCCGUAGCUAACGCAUUAAGUGUUCCGCCUGGGGAGUACGGCCGCAAGGCUA
rnacentral:rRNA from 1 species